rnacentral:rRNA from 1 species
CAGUAGCCGCGGUAAUACGUAGGUGGCAAGCGUUGUCCGGAAUUAUUGGGCGUAAAGGGCUCGCAGGCGGUCUCUUAAGUCUGAUGUGAAAGCCCCCGGCUCAACCGGGGAGGGUCAUUGGAAACUGGGAAACUUGAGUGCAGAAGAGGAGAGUGGAAUUCCACGUGUAGCGGUGAAAUGCGUAGAGAUGUGGAGGAACACCAGUGGCGAAGGCGACUCUCUGGUCUGUAACUGACGCUGAGGAGCGAAAGCGUGGGGAGCGAACAGGAUUAGAUACCCCAGUAGUCCCUGUCUCUUAUAA